rnacentral:lncRNA from 1 species
GCCUUGCAUUUAAUAACCCUCUAGGGCUAAGACAGCUUUGUGUGUAAGUCCACUCGGUGCCAUAUGGCAGUUUCCAAUUCCUUUAGCAACUCAAUUCUAGCUAGACUGCCCGCAAUGAUUCAUUCUUAAAGGAAGACCCCUUGGGGCUCAGUAAUGCCCCCUCCACUUACCUAGCUCCCACCGACCCCGCUCGGCAGGCGGCUCGGGCUCCACAAAGAGCUGUGGGAUUCCCCGCUCCCUCCGGGGCUCCUCUCCCCGCGACGGUCCCCUUCGCCAAUGAUCUGUCGCUGGAAAUCCCCCUCCCCUCCACGGAGAGGAGGGUCUCCCCGGCUGGCUGGAGCUCUUGCCUUUUUUUUUUUUUCCACCCUCUCUUUACAUGCCUGACUCUGGUUCACGAUCUCUAGUAGGAAGGCUCAACGGAGAGGCGGCGGGAGGAAGGAAGCUAAGGCAUCCUUAAAAAGAACAAUAAUCUUCAGAGAUCUUCACCCCCUUCCCCAUCGCGGGUCCCCAUUCCCCUGCCGCCGCCGGCGGCGCCCAGACCAGAGAGGGCUGGGAUAGAAAAGGAAAAAAAAUCGAGCCGGGCUCAGCUCGCCGCGCGGAAGGAGCCGGGAAGGCGAGCGGCUCCAGCCGGGGGAGUUGUCGCUCGCUCGGGCUGCCCGCGGCGCGGCGGCCGGCGGGGGCGCAGGGCGGUGGGUGCUUGGUGGGUGUGUGUCUGUGGCGGAGCCGGGGAGAGGCUGGGCGCGGGAGGCGAGGCGGGGCGCUCGGGGGCGCCAGCUCGGGCGCGCACACCCGCCCGCGGCCACCCCGCCUCGCGCUCCGCCUCCUCCCGCGCUCCGCGCGCCCGCGGACUGGAGCGGCGGCCGUCGCCGCCGCCGCCUUCUCCUCCUCUUCCUGGGCGCCCGCAGCUCUCGAGAGAACUGUGCCAAGUUCCUCCUUGGAGAGGCAGCCAGAUGGACACCCAGAACUUUCCGUAUCUUCGUGUCGAGGAUGAAAAUCUGGUUAAAACAAAUGUAGACGUUGACAAGCACAAUCUACAAAAAGGAGAGAAAAGGAAAAGAAAUAACCUAUUGGUGGUCCUCAAAGGGAUGGAGAGAUAAUCAGAUAUGGGAAUGGAGAAUUAAACAUGGAAAUUCAGCCUGUGAAAUGAGUCUAAUUAUCAUGAAAUCCGCCUACUUGGACUUUCUGCUCCUGCCAUCACGGAAGUCCCCAUACGGCCCCAGCAAGGAUCAGUUCACGUGGCAGUGUGUUGGGAGAUGUUAGUGUCACUGAAGAAGCAAGUCUUCAUGAGCUCUAACUUGACCGUGAUUUUGACUGGAAUUAAAAAUACAGAAGUGAAAAUGUUGAAAAGACUAUUUUUUCCUCACCUCCCCACCCGUAUUUGUACUCUGUACCUGUGUGUGUGCUGAGUCAUUUCAGUCGUGUCCGACCCUUCUAUCACGUAAGAAAGUGAGUUCAAUAGAAAAUUAACUUCUCCUGAGAACAGCAACAAAAAUUAAAACCACAUCCCUCCCAUGGCUCCUGCUAAUUCGAGUAGGGGGAUGAACUUUUACCUGCAGAAAUCAGUUUCUCUUCUUCCCUCUGUCACUACAUAUAUUUACCUCCAAAACUAGCCCCUGAUGUUAGCUGGGGUUGUCCAUCACAGGUACCAGGUGGGCUUAGCUAGUGGUAGCACACACAAAGUGUGUCAUUCUCCUAUACUGCUUUGAAUUCCUAAAUGUAAUAGUUAUGACAACUGCAUUUGAUAACAAUUGACACAAAAGAAAUCUAGUAUAAGCGUCAUCACCUUUUCUACUAUGAAUUGCAUUAAUUUAAAACACUUCUGGGAAUUCCCUGGUGAUCCACCAGUUAGGACUUCAUGCUGCCACUGCAGGAGGCACAGAUUUGACCCCUGGUUGGAGAGCUAAGAUCCUGCAAAUUGGGGCCAAACACACACACACACACACACACACACACAGAAAAGCAAAAUAGUAAAACAUUUCUAAUAUCUAUAUUCCAAUGAGAAAUCUUUAAAGUUCAAUAUUUUGCACAAAGUUCAUUUGGAAACUUGAAGGGCACUGUACAAAGGAUGUCAUAAAAUUGGAGGAGACUGUUUUCAUAUGGGAUUUCCCUGGUGGCUCAGACUAUAAAGAAUCCUCCUGUCAUGCAAGAGACCUGGGUUUAGUCCCUGGGUUGGGAAGAUUCCCCUGGAAAAGGGAAUGGCUACCCACUCCAGUAUUCUUGCCUCCAUAUGUAGGUAAAAUGAAAUUUACCUGUUAAGAACUGCAAGCUCAAGAGAGUUUCUAGGAACAAGAAUUUCAACACAGAGUCAGGUUUUCAGCUUAUACAAUUUUCUGUAUCGCCUAUGGCAAUUACCAAUAGUUGUAGAACUGGAAACUAGUGCAAAAAUAAAAAAAAGAAACAUUAACA